rnacentral:tRNA from 1 species
AACUAAUGAACUUGUAUAAGUAUAUAUUUUGAAAAUAUAAAAAAGAGAAUAAAACCUCUAUUAGUUU